CUCAGAUUUGCUUAAUUGCACCACAUGUGUUUUUCUUUGAAACAAACUUGCUUUGGCGGUGGGCCCAGCCUGCCGCCAGAGGUCUAAACUUACAACCAAUUUUUUAUCAACUUGUCACACCAGAUUAUUACUAAUAGUCAAAACUUUCAACAACGGAUCUCUUGGUUCUCGCAUCGAUGAAGAACGCAGCGAAAUGCGAUACGUAAUAUGAAUUGCAGAUAUUCGUGAAUCAUCGAAUCUUUGAACGCACAUUGCGCCCUCUGGUAUUCCGGAGGGCAUGCCUGUUUGAGCGUCGUUUCUCCCUCAAACCGCUGGGUUUGGUGUUGAGCAAUACGACUUGGGUUUGCUUGAAAGACGGUAGUGGUAAGGCGGGAUCGCUUUGACAAUGGCUUAGGUCUAACCAAAAACAUUGCUUGCGGCGGUAACGUCUACCACGUAUAUCUUCAAACUUUGACCUCAAAUCAGGUAGGACUACCCGCUGAACUUAAGCAUAUCAAUAAGCGGAGGAA
rnacentral:rRNA from 1 species